rnacentral:rRNA from 1 species
UACGGGGGGAGCAAGCGUUGUUCGGAUUCACUGGGCGUAAAGGGUGCGUAGGUGGCCAGGUAAGUUCGGUGUGAAAGCUCGGAGCUUAACUCCGAAAUGGCAUUGAAUACUAUCUGGCUAGAGGGUCGGAGGGGAGACUGGAAUUCUCGGUGUAGCAGUGAAAUGCGUAGAUAUCGAGAGGAACACCAGUGGCGAAGGCGAGUCUCUGGACGACUCCUGACACUGAGGCACGAAAGCCAGGGGAGCAAACAGG